AGAAGAAAUAUUGCUUUUGAAUUGGUUUUACGACUGAGGCCUCAAGUAGAUAUAUAUAGAAAUUUUCUUUCUAUUGUAAAACAUGCAAAUAUCAAGAAACGAAUGUGUCUUUGUUCUUCAGUUCACAACAGUAGUGGAACUCGCCUUUAUCUGAAGAAUCAUUUUUCAUAUUUAGGAAAAAAGCUUGUGGCAACUGUCUUCUCUGAACAGCGAUCUUGUGAAACAUGGGCCUCAGUACAAUAAAGAGGACACUUCACACCCUACAACCCGUAAAAAUAACCCAUGUUUGACAGAACUACACACCCAUCUGAGGCCUACUGUACCUGUUUUACUUCAUGAUCACCCCAGAUACUUCUACAGUUGACCCGCUUUUCUGCAUCUUCAUGACACGAAUGAAGAUAUAUAACCCAAAUCUCUGACACCCAAGAAACCAUCAAAUCAGUCUAUAUGAAUUGAGCUGAUUAAUCUACAUUUUGAGCCAAACUGUUCAGUGAGUUGUAAGGAGCAGUUUCUGUUAUAUUUUCCACUUGAACUCUGUUAGGCCUCUGUUAUGGUCUGAUGAACUGUUCUUGAUCCAGAACUCUUAGCCGAACACUGAACCGUGCUGUAGGACGCCUGGAGUGACGUCGCUGCUCAGGGUUGGUCGUUUGUCUUUUGCCUAGCCACCAGUUUCUCUGUAGCUGGCCAACAUGCUAUUUGAGUGAAGUAAACAAGUUAAUAGUAAAAUUAAAAGUGAUAUUUAAUGUUUCAUAACAUGGGUGCUAGUUACAUCAGGUACGAUUUCUUAACUAUUGCAUUACUAAGACAAGGACUGACCACUGAUCUAUAUAUGACUAUUCUAUAUUAUAGAUCAGUGGGACUGGCACAUUUAUGUUGCAUUCAAAAGAGCUCUGUUAACAGCCCAACAGUGAAAAAUUAAACUAUAUCCGUAUUGUCACAGCAUGGAAUGGUUAAGCAUUGAGAAUUAAGAAUGGUUUGGCCUGACAGUGGAAAAGCGUCUCAAGUCUUCGAAAGAGACACGAUUGCUAUAUGAUCAACUGUCUAAAGUGUUGGGUAAAUAGACCUUCAGUUAAAGGACAGAAAUUUCUCAGAUUUCACUGAAAAUGUCUUUAUUUGUGUUUCGAAAAUAAACAAAAGUCAUGGGUGAGUAAAUGAUGACAUGAAUUUCAAGUUUGGGUGAACUAACACAAUGGCAUGGCAGUGUAGGCAGGACAGAUAACACUGAAAACUGAUCAUCCUCAUUUCC